rnacentral:lncRNA from 1 species
CGGGGCACCAAGCCUAUCCCGGGGAUGGAAAAAUCCGGCGGAGAUGCCCUGGGCUGUUGCCACGCGCGGGCGCUAUUUUCCUCCCACCUGCGGCCUGCAUAUGCCUGAGGCCCGGACUCUCAGACCUCUAUUGCCCUUUGGUCCUGGAGGCCCAGCCGCAGCCUGAAGCCCAAGAGAGUGGAGCCUCGCGAAAUGAGGAACCUGGCACAAGGUUUGCUUGGAAGCAGGAACGACGGAGCGUGGCCGUGGUCCCUAUUUGCCAUUAACGCUUUCUUGCAUGGCAGUGAGAGAUGAGGGCAAGGGAGGUGGCAUAAUGCUCCCGGCCACUUGGGACUCGGAGAGACGGCAUUUAAUAAAUCACACGCGGUAUCUGCGAAACAGUGGUCGAGAUUCGUCUUCCCGGCUUCACUGGGUCAGUAAUAGGCGGGAACAGUGCCCCUGUGUUGAGGCUGCAGAGGCCCGAAUUGGUUUUCCCAAGACAGAGGGGCAUAUGAAAUUGAACAUGAAUGAAUGAACAAAGGGAACGCGUUUUAGGGAUGUUUUUGAGGAGAGGCCUGAGGUUCUCCAGGAGGGUCUGCAGCGCGGGUCGGCCGUGGGGGCUCUCAGCCAGCGUGACCACCGGACCUGCAAGCGUACCCCUGCCCCACCCCCGGCUCGGCGCUCUGAGCAAUCGGACUCUGCCAGCUCCAACUCCGGCGGGGCGCGGGUCACCCGCGACGCUGAAACUGCAGGCAAGAGCGGAGUUGACUGGGUCCUUUGAAAUGGAGUCUUGCUCUGUCACCCAGGCUGAAGUGCAGCGGCACGAUCUUGGCUCACUGCAACCUCCACCUCCCUUGUUCAAGCGAUUCUCCUGCCUCAGCCUCCUGAGUAGCUGGGACUACAGAAUAAGAUGAAAGAUACAUGUCAAGCAAAGAAGGAUUUGGACUUCUAACUGCUAGUCUUGUUCAUGAAACUUCUUAAGGACAAUGAUUGCAUCUUUGCAUGCUUUACACAUAGUGGGUGUUUACAUACAUCAAUAGAAUUCAUGUAAUUGUCAUUAAUUCCCAUUUUACUGAGUGUUUUUUGCUCAUGUAGAGAGUCUAGAUAAGGAAGCAAUCAGUAUGACGCUAGAUGCAGCAUCACAUACUGGCAAGUAAGAGGGGAGCUGCCAUUUGUGUGUGAUCUGCAGCCCGGGGAAGGAAUGGAAGGGCACUGCCUGGGGGCAGCUAGUCUGCUUAAAAGGUGUUGCAGGUCCAGCAUCCUUGAUGAGCACUUGGGACCUCUUUCUGCCCAUUUUCAUUAUUUGGUCCCUCAGUUUCCCUUCCUCUUUCCUACUAUAGGCAGUGUUUGAUUUUUAAAUGUGGCUUAGUUCUUAUGUUUUCCCCUUGGGUGCUUCUAGAGUACUUUACUCGUAUCCAUGGAUCCCUUUGUAGUUUUUGGUCUUGUUACACUAAUUUCUUUGGACCUCAGGAUUUUAUCUUUUUUUAAACUAGGAAGGUUACCUACGUAAGGGUGACACUUUUCAAUUCUAAAUUUGUUUCCAACUGAAAAGAAUGACUUCCAUUGACAUCUCUAUGUGUUGUUGCUAUGAUCUGCAGGCUUAUCCAUAGACCAUAAGCAACAUGGGAAUAGCCACAGUGCUGAUCAGUACUGUCAUAUGGAAACGGAGGGCACAUCAGUGAGAGAUUCUAGUAGAUGCCAAUUAGAUAUAGUCACUCAACCCCAAAGCUCCCUGAUGCGGGGGAAAAAACAUGUCUUUAUAAUUCAGGAAACUUUCUUAGUAUGUGGUACCUGUUGAGGUCAACCUGGGCCAUUAGUCACAAAGAAAAAAGAGGAGUUAAUGAGAGUAUCAAGCAAAUGCCCCAAAGCAAUAACCAAAGCCUGAUGUAGUGUCAAUCUUCUAUCCCCUGAAUGCUCUGUCAGUUUCCAGUAGCCUGAGUUUGGCCUCCCUCCCAGUGCUGACCUAGUCUGGGGCAGAGUGACUUCGUCAUUCCAUUCCCAGGCCUCUCCUCAUUGCCUGAGCUAAAGUGUUAGUAGUCUUAAGUACACGCUUCCUCCAAGCCUGGGGUGUGUCACCUGUGAGGUGGAGAUGAAGCUGACCCACCAGACCUGCAUUCCAAUUAGGUAAGGUAGCACUUGCUCUCUUCACAGCCUAAGGAACUGGCUUCUUUUCUUUACCUAUUUGUUGCUAGGCCUGUAAUGGCCUUAGAAGCCCAUUCUUACAUCCUCAGGGGAUUUGUCAGGACCAGACUAGAAACACACCCAAUCUUGCCAAGGGCCCUUUUUUAAUCUCUUAACCCAGCUCUCCUGGGAACUGUUACUUGCAAUAAUUGGGAGCUGAUAAGUCUUAUUUACAAUAAAGUACCUCCAGUGAUUUUAGGGCCUGGAGGCAGAGAUUUUCUUCUUAGGAGUUCUCCUAAUGCCUAAUUCUAGGAACACUUUAGGGAGUGCAGGAAGGUAAGAUGGUGUCACUAAACUCUUCUCUUUUGACAUUUUUAUUAUUGCGAAGUGUUUUUGAUUAAUUGAUUAAGUGGUUCACUUAUGAGCAAAUACUUGUGAAAAUUAACAAUUCAAGGCAAUUGCUAAAUUCUGGUUGAUUGAUAAAGACAUUUAUAGUUUAGGAUUUAACAUGAAGUAUUUAAAAGGAGGUGAUACAGAUUGGGUCUUGAACUCUAUCCAGAGAGAAAACUUAGAGACAAGGGAGACAGUUGGGUGGUAACACAGUGGUUUGCUGGAGUUAGCUCAAGCUGUCUCUUACUGACUUGCUAGAGCUGAUUGCACAUUUCCUAGCUCCUUGUUCAGCAACAUCAUAUUGGUAGCAUGAAAUUAUCAGUGGUAGAAAUAUUUGCACCAUGAACAUUAGUAACUGCUGGCUGGGCGUGGUGGCUCACUCCUGUAAUCCCAGCACUUUGGGAGGCCAAGGCGGGCAGAUCACCUGAGGUCACGAGUUCAAGACCAGCCUGGCCAACAUGGUGAAACCCCGUCUCUACUAAAAAUACAAAAUUAGCUGGGUAUGGUGGUGGGUGCCUGUAAUCCCAGCUGCUCAGGAGGCUGAGGCAGGAGAAGCUUGAACCCAGAAAGCAGAGGUUGCAGUGAGCCAAGAUUGCACCACUGCACUCCAGCCAGGGCGACAAGACGAGACUCUGUCUCAAAAAAAAAAAAAAAAAAAAAAAGAAAAGAAAAGAAAAA